UCCCGUUCGCGAAGUACAAAUUUCCAAGAAAUCAUUUUUUAAACUCUUCUCGGGCAGCUUCUAGUAAAAUGAUCAUAACUUUUGCUACAGAUGUCCAAAUGCCUAUUAUAAAUAUGUUUCUGAAAACUAAAUUCAAAGAUCUACAACUUUUGUUUUUACAUCAACCCCAAAUUCCUUGUGGAUCAAAAGAUAUGAGCUUCCGAAGUAGGACCUGCGCGACCGAAAAUUCCUUCUUCGCGAACGCGAAGAACAAAAGUCCAGAUGACAAUUCCUUCUUCGCGAAUGCGAAGAUUAAAAGCCUCAAAAGCCAAUUUCUGCUUCGCGAACGUGAUGGGACCUCGCGGAUGCACAGUCGCGAACGCGAAGAACAACCCAGAUGGCAAUUCCUUCUUCGCGAACGGCAAGACCAAAAGUCCUAGAAGCCAAUUUCUACUUCGUGAAUGCGAUGGGAUCUCGCGAACGCGAAGGACAAUACCAGAUACCAGCAAUCAGCAGUUCAAAACCUUCCAAAAAUGACCCGUUGACCACCCGAAAUCACCUCGUUGCCCUUGGGACCUCAACCAAAAGCACAAAGAUGUCCUAUUACCUUAUUCAAACUUGCUCGAACCAUAAAAACACUAUCGUAAACAUCAAAAUCGUCAAAUUCCUCAAAUUCAAGCCUAAGUCAAAUUAGAACUUUUCCAAAUUCGCAUUUGAUCCAAAACCCGACCUAAACAUUUCUGAAUGAUCCGAAAAUUUGCCCACAUAUCCAAAAUCACCUAACGAAACUACUGCAACUGUCGGAAUUCCAUUCCGACCCUCGGAUCAAAUUCUCGCAUACCAACC
rnacentral:lncRNA from 1 species